UUAACUGUGACGCUGACGUGAGGAAAAGACACAACAAACGAUUCCUGACUAAAGCUCUGCAGGAUUCAUACCUGCAGGGGGCAGUGUGUUCAAUUUACAGGAGAGGAAACAGGGUUCUGGUCUCGGUCCAGAUCUUCAUCGUGGCCUGAAGCUGAACAGGUGCUGGUCCCGUCUGGAGCCGGCAGUUUGCAGGUCGAGGCUCUGAAUGCAAACACCUGCUGCAGGUGAAGGAGACGUUACUACAUCACUCCGUGGUGGUAAAUGUGGAGG